AGUGGCGAACGGGUGAGUAACACGUGGGUAACCUGCCCCAAAGCGGGGGAUAACAUUUGGAAACAGAUGCUAAUACCGCAUAACCACAGAAACCACAUGGUUUCUGUGUCAAAGAUGGUUUCGGCUAUCACUUUGGGAUGGACCCGCGGCGUAUUAGCUAGUUGGUAAGGUAAUGGCUUACCAAGGCAAUGAUACGUAGCCGAACUGAGAGGUUGAUCGGCCACAUUGGGACUGAGACACGGCCCAAACUCCUACGGGAGGCAGCAGUAGGGAAUCUUCCACAAUGGACGAAAGUCUGAUGGAGCAACGCCGCGUGAGUGAAGAAGGUUUUAGGAUCGUAAAACUCUGUUGUCAGAGAAGAACGUGUGCGAGAGUAACUGCUCGUGCAGUGACGGUAUCUGGCCAGAAAGCCACGGCUAACUACGUGCCAGCAGCCGCGGUAAUACGUAGGUGGCAAGCGUUGUCCGGAUUUAUUGGGCGUAAAGGGAACGCAGGCGGUCUUUUAAGUCUGAUGUGAAAGCCUUCGGCUUAACCGAAGUCGUGCAUUGGAAACUGGGAGACUUGAGUGCAGAAGAGGAGAGUGGAACUCCAUGUGUAGCGGUGAAAUGCGUAGAUAUAUGGAAGAACACCAGUGGCGAAAGCGGCUCUCUGGUCUGUAACUGACGCUGAGGUUCGAAAGCGUGGGUAGCAAACAGGAUUAGAUACCCUGGUAGUCCACGCUGUAAACGAUGAAUGCUAAGUGUUGGAGGGUUUCCGCCCUUCAGUGCCGCAGCAAACGCAUUAAGCAUUCCGCCUGGGGAGUACGACCGCAAGGUUGAAACUCAAAGGAAUUGACGGGGGCCCGCACAAGCGGUGGAGCAUGUGGUUUAAUUCGAAGCAACGCGAAGAACCUUACCAGGUCUUGACAUCUUCUGAUAGCCUAAGAGAUUAGGUGUUCCCUUCGGGGACAGAAUGACAGGUGGUGCAUGGUUGUCGUCAGCUCGUGUCGUGAGAUGUUGGGUUAAGUCCCGCAACGAGCGCAACCCUA
rnacentral:rRNA from 1 species